AUUGAACGCUGGCGGCAGGCCUAACACAUGCAAGUCGAGCGAGCGGCGGACGGGUGAGUAAUGUAUGGGGACUGCCCGAUAGAGGGGGAUAACUACUGGAAACGGUGGCUAAUACCGCAUACUAUCGGAUAACCCAGAUGGGAUUAGCUGGUAGGUGGGGGAAAGGCUCACCUAGGCGACGAUCUCUAGCUGGUCUGAGAGGAUGAUCGGCCAAAUUGAGAGUGAGACACGGCCCAGAGGCCGACGGAGGCAGCAGUGGGGAAUAUUGGACAAUGGGGGAAAGCCUGAUAAAGCCAGGCCGAGGAUAUGAAAAAGGCCUUAGGGUUGUAAAGUAGUUUGAGCGGGAAGGCGGUACCCGCAGAAGAAGCAACGGCUAACUCCGUGCCAGCAGCCGCGGUAAUUC
rnacentral:rRNA from 1 species